AACUGGGUGUAUUAUAUGCUUAGCUUGCUCUGCUCAAUGAGUAUUUAAAUAGCCGCAGUACCCUGACUGUGCAAAGGUAGCAUAAUCAGUUGGCUCAUAAUUGGAGUCUUGUAUGAACGAGUGUAUGGGCAAGAGCUGUCUCUAAAUAAUAAAUGAAUUUUUUUAGUAAGUGAAAACACUUACGUCAAACUAAAAGACGAGAAGACCCUAGAAAUUUUACAUUAAAGGUGCAUGGUGCGUUUUUGUGUUUUGCUGGGGCGGCAGAGUAACAUUUAAUAACUUGCUCUAUAAAUUAGUCAUUUUUUUAUACAGAAGUUAUAAUUACUCUAGGGAUAACAGCGUAAUUCUGUUGAGUUUGCGACCUCGAUGUUGGACUAGGAAAAAGAAUACUCAGAAGGUAUUUUUCUACGUUCUGUUCGAACGAAUCAUCCUACAUG
rnacentral:rRNA from 1 species